rnacentral:rRNA from 1 species
GUUGUGGUUAAAAAGCUCGUAGUUGAACCUUGGGCCUGGCUGGCCGGUCCGCCUCACCGCGUGUACUGGUCCGGCCGGGCCUUUCCCUCUGUGGAACCCCAUGCCCUUCACUGGGUGUGGCGGGGAAACAGGACUUUUACUUUGAAAAAAUUAGAGUGCUCCAGGCAGGCCUAUGCUCGAAUACAUUAGCAUGGAAUAAUAGAAUAGGACGUGUGGUUCUAUUUUGUUGGUUUCUAGGACCGCCGUAAUGAUUAAUAGGGACAGUCGGGGGCAUCAGUAUUCAAUUGUCAGAGGUGAAAUUCUUGGAUUUAUUGAAGACUAACUACUGCGAAAGCAUUUGCCAAGGAUGUUUUCAUUAAUCAGGAACGAAAGUUAGGGGAUCGAAGACGAUCAGAUACCGUCGUAGUCUUAACCAUAAACUAUGCCGACUAGGGAUCGGACGGUGUUAUUUUUUGACCCGUUCGGCACCUUACGAGAAAUCAAAGUGCUUGGGCUCCAGGGGGAGUAUGGUCGCAAGGCUGAAACUUAAAGAAAUUGACGGAAGGGCACCACCAGGGGUGGAGCCUGCGGCUUAAUUUGACUCAACACGGGGAAACUCACCAGGUCCAGACACAAUGAGGAUUGACAGAUUGAGAGCUCUUUCUUGAUUUUGUGGGUGGUGGUGCAUGGCCGUUCUUAGUUGGUGGAGUGAUUUGUCUGCUUAAUUGCGAUAACGAACGAGACCUUAACCUGCUAAAUAGCCCGUAUUGCUUUGGCAGUACGCUGGCUUCUUAGAGGGACUAUCGGCUCAAGCCGAUGGAGUUUGAGCAUAACAGUCUGUGAUGCCCUAGAUGUCUGGGCGCACGCGCGCUACACUGAC